GAAGUAUUUUCUGAACCAACCCUUCUCUUUCAGUCAUGAUUAAACCGCCUCUUUUUCGUUGAAAGCAAACGAAAAAGAGGCGGUUUAAUCAUGACUGAAAGAGAAGGGUUGGUUCAGAAAAUACUUC